rnacentral:rRNA from 1 species
AUACGGAGGGGGUUAGCGUUGUUCGGAAUUACUGGGCGUAAAGCGUACGUAGGCGGAUUAGUAAGUUAGGGGUGAAAUCCCGAGGCUCAACCUCGGAACUGCCUCUAAAACUGCUAGUCUUGAGUUCGAGAGAGGUGAGUGGAAUUCCUAGUGUAGAGGUGAAAUUCGUAGAUAUUAGGAGGAACACCAGUGGCGAAGGCGGCUCACUGACUCGAUACUGACGCUGAGGUACGAAAGUGUGGGGAGCAAACAGGAUUAGAAACCCCAGUAGUCC